GGGGAAUUUUCCGCAAUGGGCGCAAGCCUGACGGAGCAAGACCGCGUGCGGGAGGACGGCCUAUUGGUUGUAAACCGCUUUUGAUAGGGAAGAAGCUCUGACGGUACCUAUCGAAUCAGCAUCGGCUAACUCCGUGCCAGCAGCCGCGGUAAUACGGAGGAUGCAAGCGUUAUCCGGAAUUAUUGGGCGUAAAGCGUCCGUAGGUGGUUGUUCAAGUCUGCUGUUAAAGCGUGCGGCUUAACCGCAUACCAGCAGUGGAAACUGGGCGACUAGAGUGCGGUAGGGGUCAGGGGAAUUCCCAGUGUAGCGGUGAAAUGCGUAGAUAUUGGGAAGAACACCGGUGGCGAAAGCGCCUGACUGGACCUGCACUGACACUGAGGGACGAAAGCUAGGGGAGCGAAUGGGAUUAGAUACCCCAGUAGUC
rnacentral:rRNA from 1 species